UACGUAGGCAGCGAGCGUUGUUCGGAGUUACUGGGCGUAAAGGGUGUGUAGGCGGUUUUCUAAGUUUGGUGUGAAAUCUCCCGGCUUAACCGGGAGGGUGCGCCGAAAACUGGGAGACUAGAGUGCGGGAUGGGAGAGUAGAAUUCCUGGUGUAGCGGUGAAAUGCGCAGAUAUCAGGAGGAACACCAAUAGCGAAGGCAGCUCGCUGGGACGUUACUGACACUGAGGCGCGAAAGCGUGGGGAGCGAACAGG
rnacentral:rRNA from 1 species